rnacentral:lncRNA from 1 species
GGGAAGUUCGCUGACCCCUUAAGGAGGAGAUACUAGUUUUCUUCUCUCUUCUUUUCCAGCAGGUGAAAGACCUGCAGAGACUCCAGCAUGUACAGGCCAAGGAAGAUUCGAGGCUUUUUGAAGGCUGCCGUGAGAGUCAGCUUUUCUAUACACAAGUUUGUUGAGACCCUUUCAUAAAAGAAAAGCCAGAAUCCGCAGAAGAAUGCAGUGGAAAUACUAAAAUAACAUUUCUCUAUACCAGGGGAGAAUUAUCAGUACUUUAAGAAGUUAAGAAUACAAUUUAGAAUACAAGAAUUUUUUUUUUUAGCAUAGGAAUGCGAUGGUGAUGUUUUCAUAGAUCUUCGUGUGAAUUAUCAGUUUGUUGUACUCACUGCUAAGAGCAUUUUAUCUAUGCACUGUCAUAACAGGAGUCGCUUUUGCUUCUUUUUAACCAACAACCCCCCACCCAUUUAAAUCCUGAUGGCUUUGGCUUAAGUGACUGCAUCUGAUCUUCCUCCAAUGAUUAGCUGAAGCUAUUCCAUGAUCUUAUCAUAUAGACGCAGAGCCUGGAGUCCAGAGACUCGGAUAAUGUACAUGUCUUCUUUUAUGGAAACAUGUUAUGUGUAUUUUUUCCUCGCUUUCCCUUUGCUCACCCGCAGCCUGCUCUCAGAGUUCUGCUCAUACUAGGAAAUGGAUUUAUUCAAGGAUGUGCCAAAGCUGGGAAAAGAGAAAAUAGCAGUUCUAGAAAGCAGAACAAAGCCCGAAUCCUGAACAGGAGUCUAAGGAGGACUUAGACUUGGAGGAGGACUGUCUGAACAUAACAAAGAGCGUUG